GGCUGUUUGCUAUUAAAAAACAAAAAAUAUGUUAACUAUGAUAACUGGUUUUCAUAGCCGCCAUGUUGGUUGACUCGAACAAAAGAUUUGCCCUUGGUUUCUUUUGUUAUAUCAACCAAAAUGGCGGCCACGUUUUUCUCGUUUUUUUCCAUACCCUUGGGAAUGAUUUAAGACUAUCUACAUAUAAAACUUAAAAUGACAGAUUAAGGUCGACAAAAUGUGUGGCUGGCUUACGCUGUUUGUACACCGGUCCUUGGUAAGACCGGACCCGACAUAAUGUGUGGCUGGCUUACGCUGUUUGUACACCGGUCCUUGGUAAGACCGGACCCGGUGUUCGAUACUCACUUCGUACAGAUACUAUUUAUAUGACGUUGUAAGAUAAAAUCUUCAGCAAAGAAUUAUUGGAAGAAGAGAAUUGAAUAGAAUCUCUGGAAGAGUGGGUCUCGGUAAAAAUAUGACUUGGAUUUAGAAAAUCCAUACCAGUCUGUGGUAUGAAGCUGAAUCUACGCCUUAACCUACCUSGCAAGUUAUUUUCUAGUUCAUCCUCACGUGCAGCACACG